rnacentral:lncRNA from 13 species
CUGCUGUGGGAUCCCCAUGGUGUUUGUUUAUCUCUGUCUCCUCUGCAACACACCCUGAUCAAUCUCCACUGAUAUUUGUAGUCAUUUUGACACUUUGAGGUCUGGGGUUUUAACUUUCUUCUUGUUUUACUAAAAAUGAAUUAAAGAAAAUCUUUUUCUUCUCCUUUAUUGCUUCUGUAUUUCCAAGAAGAAAAUGGUAGAAAUGCUGAGUUUACAUUUCAUGUGAAAACUUGAGUCCUACUCAGAAAUGUUGGAUUGUCCAACAUUUCUAACAACACUUAGAAAUCAAGUUAUUUUGUUUGAUUAUCUGAGAUUUUAAUCAGUCUUUUCUUCUUUUUCGAAGAAUGGUAUACUUCCUACUAUACUCAUUAUAACUAGAUUGGCUGGUGAAAUAAAUGGCCUUUAAGAUUGGCCUCAAUGUUUUUGAAAAUUAGGGAAUGGUUUAAUAACAAUAUUUAAACACCGUUAUCCAUUACCAUUUUGGUACUUAAUAACUGUUAGGCAUCAUGGUAUUCUCAUUGCCAACAUACUUUAUUUUUCUUUCUUAAAAGUAUAUUUUAUUGGUACAUAAUAGUUGUACAUAUUUUCAUACUUAAUAUUAAAAUGCUGACCAUACCUUUGCUUGGUGUUUCGUUGUUGAUGAAUUCUAGAUGGAUGAUGUAGUCUCUUUUAUAUCUGCAGGCAGAUGGAGUUAUUGUUAUGGUGUUUAGGACAAGCCAAUUGUGUUAAAGCAUGUGACACACCUAAUUUCAGAAACCAGAGGGGAAAUCACCACUUAUUCAAGUUCAAGUCUAAUUUUCCAGAUGCAAGCUACUCAUGUCUUCCUGAGGCAACAUGACAAGGGCUAGAGGUUAUGCAGACACCAGAAUACACAGCGGAUACACCCAUUUUCUGGAGGUGACCAUCAGCUUCCUCUGGGUGCAGGUCCUCUGAAGGAAGGUGGCCGGCGUCUCAGCUGCUCCAUGGUAGUUAUCAGACAGACACAUCAGGUUUGAUGGACCAGCCCUCUCAGAGACUGAAAUGCCACUGUCCUUGUGAAUCACAUCACAGUGAAUCUGAAUUCAAGGUGUUGAAGCCAGCUCAGAAAUUCUGCAAGCCGCCUUUGAGGUCAUCCAUAGGUGAACCCCAGGAACAA